rnacentral:tRNA from 1 species
AGAGACUUAGGUUAAUUAAACCAGCGGCCUUCAAAGCCACAAACAAGAGUUAAAAUCUCCUAGCCUCUG